rnacentral:lncRNA from 1 species
AUAUAUAUAUAUAUAUAUAAAGUCUCUUGUACUUUCGAAAGUACGGAAACCUCCGUACUUGUAAGUUAUUUUCGAUGAUAGGAAAUCUGAUUCGACGAUCGGUUCUGUUAAAUAUAAUCUACCUUAUUGGGACUAUUUAGAAACCAAAUUUUAAAUUUUUUGACAUUAUUUAUCAAACGAUCAAAAGGUCUCAAAAAUGACUAUUUUAAUGGCCGAUGUGGCACGUUUUUAAGUUCAACGGUGUAGAAGUAUCCAAAUUAGAUGAAAAUUUAAUAGAAAAUUCUACUUAACAUCAAUAGCAAAACCAAUACUUCCGAUUUGAAAUUUGAGUCAUUUAUCACUGUUUUUUAUGAAAUUUUUUUUUUCAGCCGUUCAUUUGGAGACUACUCGUUUACUAGACAAACAAAGUCAAAAAUUUAUGAAAUUUGGUUUUUAAGUAAUUCUAAUGGCGUAGAUCAUGUCUAACGGAACCGAUCGCCGAAUCGGAUGUCCCAUUAUUGAAAACAACUUACAAGUACGGAGGCAUCCGUACUUUCGAAAGCAUGUCUCUCUCUCUCUAUAUAUAUAUAUAGUAUUAAAAACACAC